AGGUGCGAUCAUACCAGCACUAAUGCACCGGAUCCCAUCACAACUCCGCAGUUAAGCGUGCUUGGGCGAGAGUUGUACUACGAUGGGUGACCUCCUUGGAAGUCCUCGUCUUGCACCCC
rfam:Eutrema salsugineum unplaced genomic scaffold scaffold_10, whole genome shotgun sequence.